AUGGCGGGGGCGGGGGCGGAGGAGGCGGUGGUGGGCGAGAGCUUCGAGUUCGCCUUUGACAAGGAGGCCUUCUCCGACAAGAAGCUGCGGGUCGAGGUCGUCGGCAGCGACGACGCCGCCACCCGCAAGCGCCGCCGCGAGGACGACAAAAGUGAUGAAGGAGAAUGUGUCGAUUCUUCUUCUAUAGUGAUGGCUGCACCAAUUUUACGAGUUACUACCAUGAAUAUCAAUUCGGCGAUUCUUGCUGUAAAAAGUCCUUUCUUUUUCAAGCUUUUCUCAAACGGCAUGAAAGAGUCUGACAAGGGACAGGCAACACUUCGAAUCGCUGAUUCAGAGGAAAAUGCCUUCAUGGAGCUUUUGUACUUUAUGUAUAGUGGAAAGUUGACUCCAACAACUGAGCCCACUCAUCUGGUUGAUAUCUUGAUGGCCGCUGACAAAUUUGAGGUCGUUUCUUGCAUUAAGCUUUGCGGUCAGCAGCUCACAAGCUUGCCUAUGACCCCAGAAUCUGCAGUGCUGUGCCUAGAUCUACCAUACUCCAUUUCAAUGGCACCUGCCCUGGCAGAGGCAGCCAAGAAAUUCUUUGCUGAAAGAUACAAGGAUUUCCUGUCAACAAAGUUACAAGACGAACUGAUGAGGAUCCCUCUUGCAGGGAUCGUAGCCAUCUUAUCAAGGAAUGACCUCGGGGUUUUACCUGAAGAAGCCGUCUAUGACUUUGUGCUCAGGUGGGCUGAUUCGCAGUACCCAAAUCCAGAAGAAAGACGCAAGAUCUUGAGUUCACAGUUACUUCCACUAGUACCACUAGUGCGAAGUAGGGUCAGAACCAUUGUACUCGAUUAG
rnacentral:rRNA from 1 species